ACCAGACUCCUACGAGAGGCAGCAGUGGGGAAUAUUGCACAAUAGGGGAAACCCUGAUGCAGCGACGCCGCGUGAGUGAAGAAGUAUUUCGGUAUGUAAAGCUCUAUCAGCAGGAACGAGACAAGACGGUACCUGACUAAGAAGCCCCGGCUAACUACGUGCCAGCAGCCGCGGUAAUACGUAGGGGGCAAGCGUUAUCCGGAUUUACUGGGUGUAAAGGGAGCGUAGACGGCAGCACAAGUCUGGAGUGAAAUCCCGGGGCUUAACCCCGGAACUGCUUUGGAAACUGUGCGGCUGGAGUGCAGGAGGGGUAAGCGGAAUUCCUAGUGUAGCGGUGAAAUGCGUAGAUAUUAGGAGGAACACCGGUGGCGAAGGCGGCUUACUGGACCAUAACUGACGUUGAGGCUCGAAAGCGUGGGGAGCGAACAGGAUUAGAUACCCUAGUA
rnacentral:rRNA from 1 species